rnacentral:rRNA from 1 species
AUUGAACGCUGGCGGCGUGCUUAACACAUGCAAGUCGAUCGGCAACAGGUGUAGCAAUACAUGCUGACGAGAGGCGGACGGGUGAGUAAUGCUUGGGAAUCUGCCUAUUAGUGGGGGACAACCCGGGGAAACUCGGGCUAAUACCGCAUACGCUCUACGGAGGAAAGCCGGGGACCGCAAGGCCUGGCGCUAAUAGAUGAGCCCAAGUCGGAUUAGCUAGUUGGUAGGGAACGGCCUACCAAGGCGACAAUCCGUAGCUGGUCUGAGAGGACGACCAGCCACACCGGAACUGAGACACGGUCCGGACUCCUACGGGAGGCAGCAGUGGGGAAUAUUGGACAAUGGGGGCAACCCUGAUCCAGCGACGCCGCGUGGGUGAAGAAGGCCUGCGGGUUGUAAAGCCCGUUUCGGUGGGGAAGAAAAGUCUCGACCUAAUACGUCGGGACCUUGACGUAACCCACUAAAGAAGCACCGGCUAACUCUGUGCCAGCAGCCGCCGC